rnacentral:lncRNA from 1 species
CACCUUGCAUCCUUCUGUUGGCCUCCUGACUAAGAAGUCAUGCAAGUUCAUUGGAAUGAUUUGCCACAGUAUUUGGAAGGGGCUCUGGGAAGUCCUCUUGGUCAUCUGAUCCACACCAGACAACAACCCAGUGUCAGAGGACAGGAGGAUGGCAGGGGAGAGACGGGAACCCUUGGAUGUGCUCAAUUGGAUUUUGGAUUUGACAUUAAUUCCUCCAUUUCAAGCCAUGUGUCAGAUCCAGGUAAGUUGCUGCCUGGGUCCAAACAAGUAUUUGUCCACCUGCUAGCUUUGCCUCCCAAGGACAGGGGUGGCUGCCGCGUGCCUUUGCAGCAUCAUUUGUCUGCCCCCAGCACGAGGAAUUCUUGGGUGACCUGGAUCCAGAUCCAGGAGGAUGACUCCUUUGUAUUUUUGCUGAGGGCACGACACUGUCAACCUCUUUACAGCACUUUGACAGGUUCGAAAGACCAGGCGGUUGGCCAGUUACUGGGCCAUUUCUGCAAUGGAUGAAGAGGGAUGUGAGUGAUUCUCUCUCCCCUGCAUCAGUGUUCCAGCUGCCCUGUUCCUGGCCUACUCUUCCCAUUGUUUUCCUUUCAUACAGAUCCUGGAUGAUUCAAAUAUUGUCAAACUGCGGCUCUCUCUGCUGUCUGCCUUGGAGGGAGGGACCUGGGGGAAGAGGGCUGGAAGUUAAGGCAAAUGAGCAGUAGACAAGAGGAGAGGACCUAGUUUCUUAGAGCAUGCCAGUAUCCAGUGUCCUCUGCUAAAGUAGUUCAUCCAUGCAGAGUUGCUGAAAGUCAGUCUCCUAUAGGCUGGGAUGUGGAGCUGAUAAGCUGCGAGUUCUGUGUGUGUGAGCCCAGGCUUUGGAGUUUUCUGGGCUCUGUUCUUUCCUUCCCUUUGCCACUGCUAAGGCUCAUCUUGAGUCUUAAUGAUCAUAAGCCUGGGGCAGGAUAUAAUAAGGAAUAGAGUGAAAUAACCUUUGUUUUUCAGGGAACUGGGUAAUGUGUGAAUAUGGCUGUGUGGGGUUCGUGGACAAGCAUAUGAGUUGCAUUUAUUUUUUGAGGGUAUUUUAUAAGGCUUCAUAACUCUACAGGUUUCAUUUAUUUCCUGUAUGUCCUUAUUCCAUUGAUGAGUGAAAGUUCAUAUUCUUGAGUGGAUAUUUGUAUUUGGUACUCUGUUCUAUCUUUUCUUUAGAAGGGGCUUAGUAGUAGCCAUAUAAUAAUUUUCUAUGUCAAAUUAUAAUUGGCAUGGUUCAAAAUAUUCCAUGUCAUAGAGAUGAUGUGGUUUAGUGAAAAAAGCAAUGGAGUGAGGAAUAUGUUCAAAUUGUUCCUUUGAUACUUGCUAGGUGUAUGGUCAUGGACAAGUCAUUCAGCCUGUCUGAACCUCAGUUUUCUCAUCUGCAAAAUGGAGAUAAUACUUUUUAUAUUAUUAUCUCUUGGGGUUGUUGUGAGGCUCAAACAAGAAGAUGUAAGUAAAGUGCUUUGUAAACCUUAAAUCUCUAUAUAAAAGCUAA